AGUGAACGCUGGCGGUAGGCUUAACACAUGCAAGUCGAACGGCAGCACAGUAAGAGGUUGCUCUUACGGUUGCCGAGUGGCGGACAGGAGAGGAAUAACUCGGAAUCUACUUUUUCGUGAGGGCUAACGAAGGGAGACUUUCGCUAAUACCGCAUACGACCUCCGGGUGGAAGCAGGGGAUCUUCGGACCUUGCGCGAUUGAAUGAGCCGAUGUCGGAUUCGCUAGUUGGCGGGGUAUAGGCCUACUUAGGCGAUGAUCCGUAGCUGGUCUGAGAGGGUGAUCAGCCACACUGGAACUGAGACACGGUCCAGACGCCGACGGGAGGCAGCAGUGGGGAAGAUUGGACAAUGGGCGCAAGCCUGAUCCAGCCAUGCCGCGUGGGUGAAGAAGGCCUUCGGGUUGUAAAACCCUUUUGUUGUGGAAGAAAAGCAGCGGUUUUAAACACCGAUGUUCUGACGGUACCCAAUGAAUAAGCACCGGCUAACUACGUG
rnacentral:rRNA from 1 species